CUUUCAUGAAUUUAUUCAUUAAUUUUUAAAAAGCAAUUUAUUGAGUUCCUGUGCUUCAAUCUAACAGGGAAGAUAGACAAUUAAAUGACUACAACACAAAAUGAAAAUUGUUAUAAAUGAGAAGCACAGGGAAUUAUGGGAGCUCACAGGAGGCCCGCCAACUAAAAGGGUGGAAAAAACUUUCUGAACAACUUUUAAGCUGACUCCUGAAGAAUGAGGAGGACUUAUUUAAGCAAGUGUGGGGUGUUGGGGAUGGGAGACAGGGGUAAUUGUGUGUGUGUGUGUCUGUGUUCAGUGUGAGAAAGCAAGAAAGAAUGUUUCAAGAAUAAGACAAUGGCAUGCGUGAAGCCGAAGUAAAGAAAGCACAGAGAUUUUAAGAAAUUGCAAGGGCUGAGUAUGGCUAGAAUAUAGCAUACGAUGGGGAGAUGGACACACUGAGAGAAGAACUGGACAGGCACUGGGGAGCCACUGAAAAUUCUUAAGCAGAAGACCAAGGCAACUAGACACCAGCCAUCAAGAGCUGCUUAUGCGGGAGGCCCUCGGUGACUCACUUGCUCCUACUUCCCUGGGACUAUCUUCCUCAUACCACCUGCAGACCCAGAAGUCAAGCCUGUAGGAUGAAACCUGUCCAUCCACGAGAUGGGAAGCUGCCAGUAAUGAUCGAAGAGGCACAGUCAAUACUUGCCCUGACUUCUUUCUUGCGUGAGAUCCAAGAACCCUCUCCUGAGCUCUGGAUGCGGACCCCUUUUCUGGUAACACCAGCAACCUAGGCAGCCAGCAACCUAAGUUUUGCCUCUGCCAGUCAGCAUCAAGGGCUGAGCCUAGGAGAACUGCCACCCCCAAUAAUCUCUGGGAAGGAGGCUGGCAAAGAAGCCUCGUAACUCCUGGGCUAUGUGAUAUUGAGUGAAGGAGGGUGACCUUUGAGAAAAAAACUGGAGUCUGAUUUGUACCAAAGGAAAUCUAGGAAUUAGAGCAGAACUGCGUGCUGUUGCAUCUGAGAGCGUCGCGCAUUUCUACGUACUUGCACUGAGGGGAAUGUUGGCUCAUAACUGGGUACGUGGCUGAGCCCAAGAGAUACCCGACAGCACCCCACCAGGAGGAAGCAGAAGCCAGGGAUCUGGGAGGGUAACAGCCAUUUGUGAAGAAGGAACUUAGCCAUGGAUGAUACCAUUUCAUAUCUUCCAGAACUUUCAUACACAUUGUUGGCCCCCCUGUGAAGGAGGGAGCCAUUUUUAAAAACUAGGGCUCUGAGGUUUUUUGGGAAUAAGUUCCCAGAUGUUUUCCAGGUCCUGAGCAGCCCUGGC
rnacentral:lncRNA from 1 species